UGUGUUAAACUGCAGCUGGUGCAAACGGGAUCCUACGUUAGGGUUGUCCAUAACACAUUUCUCCACUUGCUCAACAUGUUGAACCAGUCUAGACCUGUUCAUCUACCCCAAGGUGUGUCUACAUCAUAUAUAAAGGCGUAGCAGAGCGAUUCUUCAGAAGUAUACUGGAAGAGUUAUAAGUUUCAUUGUCGUUAUUUCUAAGAACAAUAAAAUGUCAGACACAAACCCAGACAAAGCCCCUCAGUGCAAUAAGGGCAAAGAAGGUGAGGGCAAGGCCAAAGGUAAAGACCACGGACCUGGCCACGGACACGGCCAUGGACCCCAAGGCCAGGGUGAGGGCAAAGGUCAUGGUCACGGACACGGUCCAGGUGCACCUGGAAAGGACUGCAAAGGAAAAGGCAAACCAUAAUGACAAGAAGCUGAGUGAAGAGACGUCUGAAGUCUGGCUGAUGCCAUUUUCUUUCUCCUGUAAAACAUGAAUUAAUUAAAACCUGUAUAAGUAAACUGCAUAUAUUUGUUUACCAUUAAAAGAUAACCAAUAAAAUAUUCAAUAAUCAAUAACGAA